GCGAACGGGUGAGUAACACGUAGUUUACCUACCCCAGAGAGCGGGACAACUGGCCGAAAGGCGAGCUAAUACCGCAUAAGCUCCUGGUGAAUAGUAAGCGAGGAGAAAAGGGUCGAAAGGCCGCUUUGGGAUGGGACUGCGGUCCAUCAGCUAGUUGGUGCGGUAACGGCGUACCAAGGCGACGACGGAUAGGGGGCCUGAGAGGGUGACCCUCCACACUGGAACUGAGACACGGUCCAGACUCCUACGGGAGGCAGCAGUGAGGAAUAUUGCGCAAUGGGGGCAACCCUGACGCAGCAACGCCGCGUGGGUGAA
rnacentral:rRNA from 1 species